GCCCUGAUAGCUUAAUCUAAAGCAUUGGUCUUGUAAACCAAAGAUUGUAGUUUAAUCACCACUCAGAGCU
rnacentral:tRNA from 1 species